rnacentral:rRNA from 1 species
CUAUUAGACUACCCGGUAGUCCGAGGGUAGUAAACGCUGCAGACUUGGUUGUUGGGAACCCUUCGGGGGUGCUCAGUGCCGGAGAGAAGUUGUUAAGUCUGCUACUUGGGGAGUACGUCCGCAAGGAUGAACUUAAGGAAUUGGCGGGGGAGCACCGCAACGGGAGGAGCGUGCGGUUUAAUUGGAUUCAACACCGUAAACUCACCAGGGAAGACUGUUACAUGAAGGCCGAGAUGAAGACUCUGCUAGAUUUUCAG